GACAGAGGGUGCAAACGUUGUUCGGAAUCACUGGGCGUAAAGCGCACGUAGGCGGCUUUUUAAGUCAGGGGUGAAAUCCUGGAGCUCAACUCCAGAACUGCCUUUGAUACUGAGAAGCUUGAGUCCGGGAGAGGUGAGUGGAACUGCGAGUGUAGAGGUGAAAUUCGUAGAUAUUCGCAAGAACACCAGUGGCGAAGGCGGCUCACUGGCCCGGUACUGACGCUGAGAUGCGAAAGCGUGGGGAGCAAACAGG
rnacentral:rRNA from 1 species